rnacentral:sRNA from 1 species
UUAGAGAUACUCUGUUUUCUUAAUGUUUGAUAUCCAUUCCAAAAAUUGCUAUGUUCAAAAACUAUGACUCAGGUAAAAUAUAUUUUUGGGUCCGCCACUGAUGCAUGCCUUGGUUUAGCAAUGAACUGUGAGAGAACUUGUACGGCAUAACACAAUUUUAAACGAAUGAUAAAAA